rnacentral:rRNA from 1 species
AGCUCCAAUAGCGUAUAUUUAAUUUGUUGUGGUUAAAAAGCUCGUAGUUGGAUUUCGGCGGGUAUAGGGCGGUUUUAAUUUCUUCUAUAAUGACUUUUUUUCCCGUGUGUUUUUCCAGAAUUUUACGGGGGACCUUAACCGAUUUUCCCUUAGAACUGGCUGGUUUACUUUGAAAAAAUUAGAGUGCUCAAAGCAAGCUUGACUGCUUGAAUAUUCGUGCAUGGAAUAAUAGAAUAGGAAGUUGUUUCUAUUUUGUUGGUUCUCGGAAAUCGACUUAAUGAUUAAUAGGGAUAGUCGGGGGCAUUUGUAUUCAAACGACAGAGGUGAAAUUCUUGGACCGUUUGAAGACAAACUACUGCGAAAGCAUUUGCCAAGAAUGUUUUCA